rnacentral:rRNA from 1 species
UGGGGAAUCUUGCACAAUGGGGGCAACCCUGAUGCAGCGACGCCGCGUGAGCGAUGAAGGUUUUCUAAUCGUAAAGCUCUGUCCUAUGGGAAGAUAAUGACGGUACCAUAGGAGGAAGCCCCGGCUAACUACGUGCCAGCAGCCGCGGUAAUACGUAGGGGGCGAGCGUUGUCCGGAAUUACUGGGCGUAAAGGGUUCGCAGGCGGCAUGGCAAGUCCGAUGUAAAAGGCGAAGGCUCAACCUUCGUAAGCAUCGGAAACUGUCAAGCUUGAGUGAAGGAGAGGCAAGUGGAAUUCCUAGUGUAGCGGUGGAAUGCGUAGAUAUUAGGAGGAAUACCGGUGGCGAAGGCGACUUGCUGGACUUCAACUGACGCUGAGGAACGAAAGCGUGGGUAGCAAACAGG